GCUAUUUAGGUUAGAGUUUGAUCAUGGCUCAGGACGAACGCUGGCGGCGUGCUUAACACAUGCAAGUGGAGCGACGAACCGGGGCUUGCCCCGGGGCAGAGCCGCGAACGGGUGAGUAACACGUGGGUAACCUACCCCGAUGACCGGGACAACCCGAGGAAACUCGGGCUAAUACCGGAUGUUCUCUGUUUUCGUAAGGAAACCGAGCAAAGAUAGCUUCGGCCUUCGCAUCGGGACGGGCCCGCGGCCCAUUAGCUUGUUGGUGGGGUAACGGCCUACCAAGGCUGCGAUGGGUAGCUGGUCUGAGAGGACGAUCAGCCACACUGGGACUGAGACACGGCCCAGACUCCUACGGGAGGCAGCAGUGGGGAAUCUUGCGCAAUGCGCGAAAGCGUGACGCAGCAACGCCGCGUGGGGGAAGAAGGCCUUCGGGUUGUAAACCCCUUUCAGUUGGGACGAAGCUUCGUCGGUUAAUAGCCGACUGGAGUGACGGUACCUUCAGAAGAAGCCCCGGCUAACUACGUGCCAGCAGCCGCGGUAACGCC
rnacentral:rRNA from 1 species